rnacentral:lncRNA from 1 species
AUUUUUACACUUGAACUUCUUAGAUAGUAUAAUUCACAUACAUACAAUAAUCUAUAACAACAUUAAGUUAUAUUUUGAGAGAAAGGUAAAAAUUGUAUAUAGAGACAAUUAAAGAUAGUGACAAAAUUUGUUUGAGCGUCGAGUUUGACAAAAACGAAGUUACUUUUGUCAUUUACGGAAGAAAACAAUUUGAAAUACGACAAAAUAU